rnacentral:rRNA from 1 species
GAUGAACGCUGGCGGCGUGCUUAACACAUGCAAGUCGAACGGAAAGGCCACAGCUUGCUGUGGUACUCGAGUGGUGAACGGGUGAGUAACACGUUGGUGAUCUGCCCUGUACUUCGGGAUAAGCUUGGGAAACUGGGUCUAAUACCGGAUAGGAAUCACAUGUGGGUGUGUGGUUGGAAAGCUUUUGCGGUAUGGGAUGAGCUCGCGGCCUAUCAGCUUGUUGGUGGGGUAAUGGCCUACCAAGGCGUCGACGGGUAGCCGGCCUGAGAGGGUGUAAUGCAAAAUUGGGACUGAGAUAAGGCCCAGACUCCUACGGGAGGCAGCAGUGGGGAAUAUUGCACAAUGGGCGCAAGCCUGAUGCAGCGACGCCGCGUGGGGGAUGACGGCCUUCGGGUUGUAAACUCCUUUCGUCAGGGACGAAGCGAAAGUGACGGUACCUGGAUAAGAAGCACCGGCUAACUACGUG